AGUACUUGCGUAUACGUUUCUCUUGCGAAUGAAUUCAAGAAUCGAGCCCCAGUUACCGAGCAAACUGUUAAUUUAACUGUAUGUAGGAUAUAAAAUUUUCAAAUGGGAGUGAGUUUUUAUUAAUUAGGCAGGGCAAAGUAUGUAAUCGCACGUUCCCCGCGUUGUUCUUCUAUUCUGAAACGCAACGUGAUCCUCGUGAUCGGGAGUAUUGUACGAAGUAUCGCGAGACCUUGCGCUCUCGCCGUUAUUCGUGUGCAAGUAAUGUGCGGCAAAUUUGGCGCGGAGGAGUCACGAAGGACAAUAAAGCGAAAUUCGAGAGCAGAAGGCCCGGUGGGGCAUCAAGCGGCACAACUAUGGGUCGACUGGCGGGAAAUGGCUCUUUCGUCGCCCACGGAUUGCCGAGAUUAUUCGUGCGGAUUCACAGGAUGAUCGACAAGAACAGGGGAAAAUUCUUGAAAGUAGGAGCGUCCCUGACGCUAAUCUCGUGCUAGAUGGCAACAUUUUCUUGUAGCCAAAUAUACGAAGCGGCUCGCAUUGCCUUAUUGUUACAACGUUGCGAGUAUCUCGUUAUAGGGAAGAGGUAGCUCGAUGAACGAGGGUUAAACGCCAGCCAACAACUUAAUUGAUAGGAGCGGAAGGAUUAAUUUUAAAUCGGAUCCGCGCGCGCGACUUCGGAGAUCGGCCCCCGCGCGCACGAGAGGCCGAUUGUACAUAUUGUACAUAACGCCUAUAUAACGCCAGAACAUCCAGCGGCCAUGAUGGCUCUGGUCUCUCUCGCUUAUCGGCGAAGGGAGAGGGGGAGAUGUGUCGGGUCGAUACUUCGGAGUUGAGCGAGGAAGUCCGUAAGCGUUGCACCCCACCGGACGGCACUCGGAGGGAACGGGAGGAGGGUAAGAGCGGGAGGGAGGGGGGAACUCGUUCACCACUCCUUGCUCGCCGAUUGGUCCUGGCAGGACGGCACGUCAUUGGGCGGUGCGACGCGCCCGUCGGAUGAAAAGGGACGAGAGUUUAUCCUAAGGAUAUACCUGUCCCGCGUAUCCCGCAUACACUAUUAGGGCGGAGGAAGGGACGACGGGGAAAGGGAACGACGAGAUUAAGGGCAAGCAGAGCCCAUAAGCGGACAAAUCGGACCCUUUCGCCGCAACUUCGGUAUCAUUCGGUUCGCGCAUACAUACCUACGUGCGACCGACCUGUUUCACCGCCGUUGUUAAGCCCGAUGGACUGAGAUAAAUCGCCGGGCAUCGUUCAAUGUCCGCGGCGUCGUUAGACAAAGAGUACAAUACAAAAAUAACCACAAACAAAAUAAAGAAGAUAAAAAAAACAAGAUAAAUGUAAAAAGAAAAAUGCGAGAGAAAUGCUCUCGCAAACGAGAAAGAAAUAGAGUGAAAGAGAGACGUGAUGGUCAGCGUUACCAAGUAAUAGAUCGCAAGAGGAGAGAAAUCUGUGAUGAAACGAUGACGUGUGACAACAGAGGUAAUGAAGAUACCACAAAUAGAUUCGUGCAUGCGAGCGCACGAUCUCUCGCCGCUCGUACCGGCACGGUGCGCAAAUCCCGGUGAUAUGGAGGGUGGCAGUGAGGGAGGUGAUCUAAACGAGAUUAAUCGCGAGAGUAGUCGCUUUAUCCUGGCGAAUAACUUUCCGAAACCAGACAACGAUUACGGCUGUUUGGUGUUCGCGCGGGGUCCGGCCACGGUAUACAUUCGUGAAAGAGAGCAACGCACCAGCCACGGCACGUCCUGACAUAUGGGUUUCCAGGGCUUUGCUUGUCUGGGUCUGGCCGCGGUCCCGGGGUCUUUGUGCGGGGGUGGUAAAUGGGAUGUCAUCGUGUUAAAUGGCCCCUGAUCCCCGGCGACAGCCCCGGGCGCGGCCCAUUGAAAAGCACCCGGCCCGGGCGCCAAUUCUUGCGGCUAAUUCACGCCGUUUAUACGUUUAAUUGCCCUUGCCGAGCCACCUGGACCACCGUGCUCGCGUGCGCGCGCGCAAGAGAGAGAGAGAGAGAGAGAAAACAUUAGGAACGGGAUUCGAUUCGAGUUUCCGUUUAACGGACGCGCUUAGCGUCUCGGGCAUGUGCCGUUCACGACGACGCUCGUCCCUCUUCCUUUCCCCCCCUCUCCUCCUUUUCUCUGUGUGUAUAAUAUAUAUAUAUAUAUAUAUCUUUCUCUCUUGUCGAGGUUAUUGAUUUACGAGAGCACCUCUUUCCGGUUAGAUACGUGCACGUCAACGCGCUCGGAUGUAUCUAAACCUAAAGAUUACCGGACAGAGACCAUCCCCGAUGAUACAUGAAUCAACGCUCUUAGCUGUCGGUCACGAAGUAACAAGAUACUGACGGCGUCGCGAUGCCGGCAACGUCGAAACGGAUGUCGCAGUCUGAACGGUAGAGGUGUUAGCAGGGUACUUUUGUAAGAGAUUGUCUUUUUUUGGAGAUGGUUACAUUUAAUUGAGAAGCUCAUCGAGGCUCGUUGCCAUUCUUUUGUCCUUCCAAUUUAUCUGCUUGGAGACAUUAAUUUAUUUGCGUAACCCUCGUCGUAUUAUUUCAAAGAUGAUAAAAUGAGAGAAACGCGCGCGCCUGUCUGAAAUUAAUUCCCGUUACUAGUAGGAGGAAAGCGCGGUGUGCGCUUCUCGUCAACGUGUCGUCGUUAUUAACGUCCUGCUCGUUUUCUCGCUUGACGGGUCGUAAAUCGCGGUAUCGACGGCUCGCACGAAAGUGAGAAAAAAAAGAGUCACGACGCAACCGAGCGUCGACGGGGUAAAGGAGAGAAAUUGAUGAAGUGCUCUCUCUCUCUCUCGUGUAGGGUAUUCAGGAAAUAGACGAACUCUGCACGAUAUUCGGAGCACGAGCUAUAGCUAGAAGAACCUUUGUGAAAUGUCUCCUUUUGAAGAAGAAAACGACCGAUUAUUAGAAAAUUUAGGGAUAGAUACAUCGAUAAAUCUGAAGGCUGUGAUUUUAUUAGGAUCAAAAGACGUUUUAUUCUGUGUUUAUCGUGGAAGGAUCUGCGUGCAUAUUUUUGGGGGUAUAUUUCCGAUUUAGAAAAUCAUUUUAUUUCAAUUUUUGAGUCUUGCAAUCUUUUUUUUCAAACAUGACCUACAACUUUGGUUCUUUAAAAAUAUUGUUAUACAUAAAAGUAAAUUUUACAUAUAAGUAAAAAUAUUAUUCUCUAUAAAAGAUCUGUAUACGAGGUAUUGUUGUACGAGGAAUAAUUCAAGUAGAACAUUCUGACAAGAUCGACUUUUAAACAAGCACAUAAUAUAAAAGAAAAAAAAGAAAAUGUGAAGGAUAAGGCAUAAUUAUCUAAUAUAAUAUAAUUAAAAUAUCUGUUUGUAUAAUGCAGUGAAAUUAACAAGUAAUUUUAGAUUUAAAGAGUAAUUAUUAAUUUAUUGACAAAAGUACAAAGAUAUGUAAGACAUAGCAACGUUGAUUAAUCAGGCAUCGAAAACAAUAAAACAUAACUGAUAACAUUGAAAUGAGGUACGGAAUAAGCAAGUAAUUAACGAGA
rnacentral:lncRNA from 1 species